UCGGGAAUUUUGGGCAAUGGGCGAAAGCCUGACCCAGCAACGCCGCGUGAGGGAUGAAGUAUUUCGGUAUGUAAACCUCGAAAGAAUGGGAAGAAUAAAUGACGGUACCAUUUAUAAGCUCCGGCUAACUACGUGCCAGCAGCCGCGGUAAUACGUAGGGAGCAAGCGUUGUUCGGAUUUACUGGGCGUAAAGGGCGCGUAGGCGGCGCGGUAAGUCACUUGUGAAAUCUCUGAGCUUAACUCAGAACGGCCAAGUGAUACUGCUGUGCUAGAGUGCGGAAGAGGCGACCGGAAUUCUUGGUGUAGCGGUGAAAUGCGUAGAUAUCAAGAGGAACACCUGAGGCGAAGGCGGGUUGCUGGGCCGACACUGACGCUGAUGCGCGAAAGCCAGGGGAGCAAAC
rnacentral:rRNA from 1 species